rnacentral:lncRNA from 1 species
AGACAGGGGCAGCACCCCCUGUUUGCUGCCUUUCCAGGGAGGGCAGCACGAGAAAGAAAGAGGGAGGCAAGCGAAAUUCCUGAAUGGAUAGACAGAUGCUACGUCAUCGGAGCCGCAUCCUCCACUCCACAAGAGGCUAGGAGCCGGAGAAAGAGGCAGGCCAGCGGCAGGGGCCACCGAGCCAGCGCGCCUCCUCCCAGAAGCCGGAGCAGAGCAUCGGAGAAGAAGCAGCCUCAUUUGCUUCUGGUGUCAUCGAACCUUCCUGACCCAGGGAUUGAACUUGCCUCUCCUGCUUCUCCUGUAUCGGCAGGCAGAUUCUUUACCACUGAGCCACCUGGGAAGCCCUACUAGCUGCGUGGCCUUAGGAAAUUUCAUGAUCUUGCUUAUUCCUGUCUUGGAAAAUCCUUUCCAAUGUCUAACCAAGAUCUGUACUGCUGAAGUACCAGUUCUUUGACCUAUGGCUUGACAUGGCUGAUUUGAGAGGUACAGCUUCCCACCACCCAGGAAGGAAGGAACUGGCCUGGAUUUUGGCAACCUCUUGCUUGUGUUGAAGAUGUGGCUGGGGAAGAAGCCACAGGAGCUGUAGAAGUCAACAAAAUCUUUUCAGACCAAAAAGAAGAACCUACUUCAUCCAGUUGGCUUCAGUGCCCUGUGAGAAGCCUUCCUGAUUGACGGAAAGAUGAGACUAAAUUCUAGCAAGUUGAGUGGCUCCUUCAAGAAGCCUGUGUGCAGGGUAGAAGUGGAGAGGCCAUAGCCUCCAGCCUGGGCAGCCCAUUGGCACCUGGAGCCACCUCAACUUUGCCUCCCCUUUGCUCCUGUGUCUAUAAGCUGCCCAGCCCAGCCCGUCCUGGUUUCUCCUGUGUCUUCUGAGCUGAGAUUUCUCUGAGAUGGAAGCCCCAUCCCAUGUCUAAUAAAGACUCUUGAAUACUGAA